GGCAUGCGGCUCCUGUUCGUGGCGGUGCUGCGGCGGCACACGGGCAACGCCGUCACGGCCGAGCGCGUCCGAGGCCACCUGGAGGCUGCCGGCCACGUAUGUGUUCUGAAAGAUGCCUUUGACUUGGAAAGCUCGUCCGAAAUCGCCAAGCUCAUCGAGGCCGAGAACCUGGAGGCGGCGCUGGCCCUUCACCUCUACAGAGGAGGCCGACUUCUGCAAGGUCAUGGAAUUCCUUUCGGAAUCAUCUUUGGUGGAACCGACCUAAAUGAAGAUGUAAACCACAGAGAGAAAAACAAAGUGAUGGGGAGAGUCCUCGAAGAAGCCAGAUUUGCCGUCGCUUUCACGGAGUCAAUGAAGGAAGUGGCACAAACGCAGUGGCCUCAUGCUAGGGGUAAGAUCUAUGUCCAGAGUCAAGGAAUUGUGACAGUACCAAAUGCUUCCUUUAACUGGAACACCUUUCUUCACCAAUCAGGGAUUAACCAAAGUGCUGAUAAUUUACACAUCUUUCUCCUGGUGUGUGGACUUCGGCAAGUGAAGGACCCUCUCUACCUGGUGGAUGCCUUCUCAGCGUGGCACCGAGAAGAGCCUCACGUUUACAUGGUGAUCGUCGGCCCAGAAGUGGACCCAGUGUUUACGAGGGAAGUGCAAGCCAAAGUAAAGAGGACCGCGGGGGUGCGGCUGGUGGGAGAGAUGCCCCAGGGGGACCUGCACGCGGCGCUCAAGAACUGCUUCGCGGUGGUGAACAGCUCGGUGUCCGAGGGCAUGUCCGCGGCCAUCCUGGAGCCCCCGACACGCGCCUUGCCGCCGCAGACGCGCCCGGGGACUAAGUGGCGCAGGUUAAGACUGCUUGUGAGAAGGAGACGUGGCCACGGGGCCUCCAGGACGUUGGGCCGGGUUUCACGUUUCCUUCUCGCUACGUGGGCUUCUUCCUUCGAUGGGCACCUGGGGCGCUGCGGUCGUGUUACUGGACGUAAUAUCCGUGACAUCCACUGCUUCCCUCGGACCCCGUCUCGUUGACUGACCUCGCGGGCAGCAGGUACGAUGAGCCAUUUCACAGGACGCGGCGCGUAACUAAAGCGGGAAAAAGAACAAUCGUCCCUAAACUAAGACAUGACUGAUGUGGGUGCCUACUCUUUUCCUGUGGCAUCGUUUAAAAAGAGCUAAACCCAAAGCAGCAUCAGGAACGGGGGUAGAGGCUGAACAUGGGUGCCUGGAUGCCAGUGCUGGGCACCCUCAGAGCAUGUACAGCACGGACCGUAACCUGCUUGUCGUCAGGCACAGCGGGGACCACCAUCGGAACUGCAUGGUUAGCAUCCGUCUCCACUGAGGCUCCCAGCGAGGUCAGUGCAGGCCUGGGGUUGGGGGUAGACGCUCAAACCCGGGGUCAGUGCACACUCCUUCACUCUCGGUCCAGCUUCAGAAGCACAGGCUGUUACAGCCGCAGUCCUUGAGCUGGUGUGGAACGGCUCCUCUGUUCUUGUGCAAGUUCCCUAAGAAAAAGUGAAGUCGAAUUCAGGAAUGAUUUCAAAACCGGUGCAUGCGGCAUCUGACUGCAGAUGAAUUGAUGCUGUCAAAUCUCAUUUCCUCCCGAGGAAAGGCAGCUGUGAGCCAGUCCGACUAACGUACCCGUGGCUGCCGUGCUUCUCAGAGCCCCAGAAUAGCCUCUGGGGUGAGGGCUUUGAAUGAAGCUGAUUUUAGGGGAGUGGUCCGGGGGCUUGUCAUCAGGGUCCAUUCAGAGAACCAAAGUGGCCAAGCCCUAGUGAUGGAAGACUUCUCAAGGCUUUGCGUUGAGAAGCAUUCUAAUCCCGGUGAUGAGGGAUCCGAAUGCAGCGUGGGUACACGUCGUGAAUCCUGGGAUCCACCCCCCCCAUCCCCACCUGAUAGGCAGCAGUCACCAUGCUGGACACGAGUCAUUCAAGGCCCUGAAAAUGCAAGCAAACCUCUCUGAAAGAAAAUCUGGACCAUGGAGAUUUUUGACCUAGGGUGUCCCUCUGAAGUGUAAAAACCCAUAAAUACAGGUGGCCAUACCCUCCCUUCAUCACCCGCACUAUGCUCUGGAGGCUGAUCUGCACGUGCAGAGGAGGUAUCAUCUCUGGAAUCUUCUGGCAAGUCUGCAGGAAACGAGGCACCAGCUACAAAGCUUCUUUUUAAGGUGGAAUCAGAGGUUUCCGUCCACCCAAUGGAGGGUUGAAGAGCUCACAGGGAAAGGAAUCAGGUGACUGUGGACUGAACCGAGCAUCAGACACCUUCCACUGUCCAAAAGCCUGGUACAGGUCUGCUCUGCUGGCUGCUCCACCUGCGCCCCCCCAGCCUCAUCCCUGAUCACCAGGGGAGAGCGAACAGCAGACGCACACGCCCACCUGGAACCAGACGUCGCUGGUCCGGGUCUCGUGGGGACCAGCUUCGUAUGCUUGUCCUGCCCUGGGACUUCGCCUCUCUUGAAGGCAGUUUGUUGUGAAGGAGGCGACUUCAUACCUUGGGGAAGUGACUUAGGAAUCAGAUUCCUUUUUUUUUUUUUAAAUAGAACUUAUUGUCAAGGUAGCUAAUAUACAGUAUAUACAGUGUGCUUUUGGCCAUAUUUAUCCUUCCUUCUCCCACAGCCCUACCCUGGCUAUCAUACCCUGGCUCCCAAAAAUGUGAUCAGAGAACAUACCUUUUAUGAUUUUGAUCAUUUUGAGUGUAUGGAAUCCUAUCUAUUUUGAUUUAACAUAUGGUCACGUUCCGGAAAAGGAACCAUGUGUACCUGGGAGGAAUGUGUCUUCUGUAGUUGCUGGGGACGUGCUGAAAAUGUCAGGUUAAGUCGGUUCGUGCUGUUCAGGUCGUCUGUCUCCUUCAUGGUUGUCUGUCUAGUUUUUCUAUUAUCAGUUAUUGAGAUGGGGUAUUGAGAUGUCCCAUUAUUAUUAUUAUUAUUUAUUAUUAAAUUAACUACUUCUCCUUUCAAUUCUGUCAGUCUUUGCUUCACAUGUUGCGGGGCUCUGUGUUCUGGUGUGUGCACAUCUCUAACUUCUGUGUUGUCCUGAUGUAGCGAUCCUUUUAUCAUUAUGAAAUUUCCCUCGU